CUAGGUAGUGUCAAAGGGAUUGAAGAGACAGGGGUGGAUUUCAGACAUACAAUUAACGGGACUUGGAGCCUGAUUGACUUGGAGACGGAGGACAGGCUAAAGAAAUGCAGAGCCCGUCACCUGGGAGCCCAGUCUAGGGCUGCAUACAACGUGACCGGGCCUGCUGGAGCCAGGGACCCGCUCUUAAUUUAGAUCUUCACUCUAUCUGGGCAACGAGCAAGGAGCACCGGGACUAGAGGCAAUUGAUGAGUUAUGGAAAAAUUCCAUCUGCAACAUCCCUGUGAAUUUGUCACCCAGCGUUUGCUUGAGCACCUUUUGCAACGGCUAGCUCACUACCUCCUUGAAAGAAGUCAAGCUCUGCCUAUUGAAAACUCUGACAGCUCUGACUAUUCAAAAAUAUUCCCUUGUGUUUAACCAAAAAUGCUGUAUUUGUAAUUUCACCCCAAAAGUCACAGAGACAAUUCUGUCAUCUUUUUAAAUGACAGCCAACAUUUUCUGGGAGAGGCUUUCGUGACUUUCAUCAGAUUCUCCAAGGUCUCAGUAUCAUUAAGUACUUCACAGAAUGUCGUUGCUCGUAUCCUCUCUCUUCUGGAUCAUCUGAGAUACUACAAAUAGGUUUUGACAAGAAGGACUGUCCAGCUUCAAUUCCACGCUCUGCAGCAUGACCUUCGACAAGUUACCCAACCUCUCUGUGUCAGUUUCCUCACCUAGACAAUAAGGUUAAUAACCUGCACCAUCUACCUAUUGGGCUGUUGUGAGGACCAAAUCAAUUGACACAUGUGUGGCCUAUAGUCAGUGUUUGAUGAAGACCUGCUCUUAUUACAGAAUCAAAACUUCCUUUGGAACCAUUCUAAUAUACCGACAUAAGUGGGAUGCCUAUCGUCUAUCUCAAUGUGAACAUUUUUUUCUUCCAUUGCUGUUGAGAACAAGCAGAUGAUCCAUAGGCUUAACAAUUCAAUUAUCAUUUCUGAAAAUGAAGAGCAAUGGGGAAAAACCAUGAAGAUAGAAGAUAUACAGAAGCGGAUGAAGAAAAAGAGAUAGAUAUGAUCUUAAUAGUGUCUUUCCAGUUCCAGACUCCAGAAUCCAGAACAAACAGAAUAGAUGUGCGUGCAGCUCCUGAGACACAAGAAAUUCUGGAACUCGGUUCUGUAAAGCUGAGAGUCUACAUUUCUUCUGCUGCACACAGACAUAUGCACUUCUCCUGCACCCCAGACACAACAGAUGGCCAGCUCUUUGCACACAAACCAGCUCUGUGGAAAGCAGUGGGCACAGCAGGGCAGAAAGAACAUCUCCCCCAGUGUUUCCCUGAUUGAAGAAUAGGUUCCGGUUCCUUAUCUCUACUGACAACAAGGCAUGAACUGGACUGUUGCGAUGCCCUCUACAGCCAGACUUACCAGUGUGGCGGCUGACGUUGUUCGAAGAGUCUUCAUGAAAGUGUCUGCUCCCCAGCUCCACAAGAAAGCUGCAGAUUAAAGACACAGAGCUAAUUAUUUAUUUUUCCCUAGGAGAAGGGACAGUGCCUGGGAGGUACUGAAUUUCAGAAGCCCUUUAUCCACUCCAGGCAGUGGGAACAUCAACCAAGUCACUGGGCUUGCCUGCGGUUCAACUCCCUAGAAAAACAGACUCUGGGCAGCUCACAGUGUGUCCUAAAGUCAUCAAAGUACUGGAAAAAAAGCUUUACUACCCACAGACUAGGGGGGAAUGUGUUACUAGGAGCUGGAUUCCAUAUGCUGAAUGUACACAUCAAAUGCAACUCUCUUCUCAAAAGCUUUUCCCGGCUUCUUUUCCCCAAAUGUUCUCCUUCUCCAACUGAGCACAUGGGUCUCUUGUUUCCCCUGGUAGCUCUGGAACCCUGGGGAAUUUCAAGGAAUCUAUAUAAGUGGGAUCCUUCAUUAUGAGUGCCCAUUACUUGGACUCAAAUAGUUAUGGCUGUGCAAAAAAGUAUAUGUAGAAACCUAGUGGUUAUAAAAUUAGUCUCCACCAGGGUAUUUACUUACCCUGUUUCUUCCCAUCACAUCAAAAUAAUUAUUGCGGUUGUUUAGGCUAUCACCGAUUUUAUAAAAUAUUUCGAGCACCCCCACCAUAAGGAGACUACACUGCUUAUCACCUGCAAAGUAAAACUGCAGUCCUGUGAAAGCUGUACAGUAUCAUCAAGUUACUGAAAGUGAUGCUAAGGUUCUCUGGCAUCACGUUCAGAAGCACUGGCAAACGAGGAUUAGGCUGAGUUAGACCAAUUAACAAUUGAAAAAGAGAAAAUCAACAAGGAAGAUGAUUAGAAACUUCAAAAGGGAAAUAUUUGAAUAUCAAAGGAUUUUAGGAAAAGCCCUGGGGAACAGUGAUGAAUCUCUCAAAUAUUUUUUACAAAAAUUACCUUCCUCCUAAUCACGAUAGGAAAGUUCAAUGCAAAGUGAAGGAUUUCAUUUCAUUUGAUCAUACAAUUUUGUCAGAAAAAUGACUUUAAAAAAUCGAGACCUGGCUCAUUUUCUGAUCGUUUUGCGAAUUAGCAUGCAGUUAAAAUUAUCAAAUAAAUUCUGACUCUAGAAGCUAAAAUAAACUCAAAUUCACGCAUUUUAGUUUCAUCUGCCAAACUUCUUGCCUGUUUUUCUCUGGAAUUGUGUUUCUAUUUGAGGUUAGAUUCCCUUUUGGGAGGACUUGAUUUCAGAGGAGGCUAUUGCGUGGUAACGGUUGUGUGUAGAUUCUGGAGUGAGGAUGCCUGGGUUUUGAAUCCAGGUGCUGGUACUCAUGGUAUAACACGGGAAGGUUAUGUGACUUCCCUGUGCUAAUGGUUCUUCGUCUCAAAAACAGAGUUCAUAGAAACCCUGUUUGAGCAGAGCAAGGCAGUGAGUAUUGCAUUGAGAAGCGUCUGGUUCACCCUUUGUGACUGAGUGUGGUCUGCCCUGGGUGUGGCGUCUACGCUUUCUCAGUAGGCAUGGCUAAUUUCAUUCCUUUUCAGAUCCCCUUCUGGAAAACCUGACCUCUUCUUCUCCUAGUGACCUCCUCCUUGUUGUGCUCGGCCAUCGACUGUUUCCAGAAACCAUCCUUGACCAUUUGUCAUGUCACAUAAGGUUCGACAGCCCUUCACUAUGAUCCCUAUAAAAUUAGUUACUAAUAUCUCUAGAGCUUCUCUAGUUCAAGCCAUUCUCUGUCUUCCCAGCCUGCUUCUGGGGUACACAUCUCUCUAAGCUAAGAGGAAAAGAGCAUACUCAUCGCUGCAUCUCUGUAUCGGGCACAGCAGUCCCUCAUCAUAGUCAGUGAGGGAAUGGCUGCCUCAGUGAGACGGGCUUGGCAGCAAAAAGACCUUUAACAUGAAAGGUACUCGCCACGUUGGCCCUGGAUUGCCCUAAACGUUGAGCAGCUUGGUUUUCUCUGUGCCCAUUUUCCAUGAACUCUGGAGUGGAGGAGUUGAACGUGUUAAAACCCUUUGGGCUCUUUUAGCUCCAAUGCCCUGUAGUCUGAUGACACCCGUGAAGCUGAAGGACUAAACAUGGAGGGGCUAUGCUAAUUUUUCUUUCUCAAGUUAUAAAAGGAAGUUGUCCUGAAAUGGGGAUGAGGGCUCAUUCUUCUGCUCUAUCUUUGUCCACUGAUGAAUACUUCUGGGUCUGGCCGUCUCUCAGUUUAGAUCAACGUACCGCACUCUUCUCCCCUUGGAGAGCUUCAGUGAAGGCUCCUGGGGUCAUUACUCCUGGUUUGAGGGCUCGUUUCUCUGGCUGACGGUUCUAAUUGUCACCUCAAUCGCUGGUAUCUUUUGUUGUGAGCUAUCCCCUGCCAGACAAUACGCUAAAACGCUUUGCAUACGUUAUCUCAUGGAAUCUGCACAAACUCAGUGGGGGAGGAAUCUUUGUCCCUGUUUUUAGAAGCCACAGAACUUAAGAGGAAUUAGAAAAUGCCCUGGUAGUCUCCUUGAUAGGAAAUUGCAUAAAUUCAAAACCUGGUCUGGCUGGCUUCAGAGCCAUGGUCUUUGCCACCACAUUCCACAACCUUCUGAGUUGUAUCUCUGCUUAUUCCAUUGUGCCCAUUGUCUGGCAACACCGUGUGGGGUGAGCAUCUCUUCUUUCAGGUCACAGACCAUUCACGCCCUAUGUUUGUGUGUUGUGGGUGCGGCUGGCUGCUUGUUGAGUUACUUUCUAAGUCUUCUAAAGGUCUAUAAAUAUGCAAGACCAUAGAUCUAACGAAGGCAGAAUGGUGAAGCCACUGAAAUGAUGAGCUUUGAGCUGCCAACUUUGAAGCCUGGCUCUGGUACUUACCAGCUGUGUAGCCUCGGACUGGGUAUUUAAGUGCUCAAUGCCUCAUUUUUCUCAUUUGAAGUGUGAAAAAUAAUAAUAUUUACAUGAAAUGUGGAAUAAUAAUAUUUC